AGAGUUUGAUCCUGGCUCAGAUUGAACGCUGGCGGCAGGCCUAACACAUGCAAGUCGAGCGGAUGACGGGAGCUUGCUCCUUGAUUCAGCGGCGGACGGGUGAGUAAUGCCUAGGAAUCUGCCUGGUAGUGGGGGACAACGUUUCGAAAGGAACGCUAAUACCGCAUACGUCCUACGGGAGAAAGCAGGGGACCUUCGGGCCUUGCGCUAUCAGAUGAGCCUAGGUCGGAUUAGCUAGUUGGUGGGGUAAUGGCUCACCAAGGCGACGAUCCGUAACUGGUCUGAGAGGAUGAUCAGUCACACUGGAACUGAGACACGGUCCAGACUCCUACGGGAGGCAGCAGUGGGGAAUAUUGGACAAUGGGCGAAAGCCUGAUCCAGCCAUGCCGCGUGUGUGAAGAAGGUCUUCGGAUUGUAAAGCACUUUAAGUUGGGAGGAAGGGCAGUAAGCUAAUACCUUGCUGUUUUGACGUUACCGACAGAAUAAGCACCGGCUAACUCUGUGCCAGCAGCCGCGGU
rnacentral:rRNA from 1 species